rnacentral:rRNA from 1 species
UACGAAGGGUGCAAGCGUUACUCGGAAUUACUGGGCGUAAAGCGUGCGUAGGCGGUUGGCUAAGUCAGAUGUGAAAGCCCUGGGCUCAACCUGGGAAUGGCAUUUGAAACUGGCCGGCUAGAGUGUGAUAGAGGAUGGCGGAAUUCCCGGUGUAGCGGUGAAAUGCGUAGAGAUCGGGAGGAACAUCCGUGGCGAAGGCGGCCAUCUGGAUCAACACUGACGCUGAGGCACGAAAGCGUGGGGAGCAA